AGAGUGUUCGGGUUAAGUCCCGUAACGAGCGCAACCCUUGUCCUUAGUUACCAGCACGUUAUGGUGGGCACUCUAAGGAGACUGCCGGUGACAAACCGGAGGAAGGUGGGGAUGACGUCAAGUCAUCAUGGCCCUUACGGCCUGGGCUACACACGUGCUACAAUGGUCGGUACAAAGGGUUGCCAAGCCGCGAGGUGGAGCUAAUCCCAUAAAACCGAUCGUAGUCCGGAUCGCAGUCUGCAACUCGACUGCGUGAAGUCGGAAUCGCUAGUAAUCGUGAAUCAGAAUGUCACGGUGAAUACGUUCCCGGGCCUU
rnacentral:rRNA from 1 species